UACGGAGGGAGCUAGCGUUGUUCGGAAAUACUGGGCGUAAAGCGCACGUAGGCGGCGCAGCAAGUCAGGGGUGAAAUCCCGGGGCUCAACCCCGGAACUGCCCUUGAAACUGCAGUGCUAGAAUCUUGGAGAGGCGAGUGGAAUUCCGAGUGUAGAGGUGAAAUUCGUAGAUAUUCGGAAGAACACCAGUGGCGAAGGCGACUCGCUGGACAAGUAUUGACGCUGGAGGUGCGAAAGCGUGGGGAGCAA
rnacentral:rRNA from 1 species